AGCCGAUCCACUUCAGCAUCUCAACUCAUCCGAUCAACAUCCUCAUCUUCAACAGAUCUUCAUUAGUUCAGCAACAGAUCAUCUUCAUCAUCAACAUUUCAUUUGGAUUUAAAGGAAAGAAGAAGAGAAAACAGAGAAUGAAGGAAUAUGGAUUAUCUGGUUUUGGAUGAACUUGAAGAUGAGAAAAGGAAGAAAGUGUCAAAGACCCAUUUGAAAAUAGCAAAGGAUAGUUGGUAGAGCUUAAGAAUGGAA